UACAGGGGGGGCAAGCGUUGUCCGGAAUUACUGGGCGUACAGCGCGCGCAGGCGGUCCACUACGUGCCGUGUGACAGGCGUCGGCUUAACCGACGACGGCCAGGGUACACGGGUGAACUUGAGGCAGAGAGAGGGAUGUGGAAUACCCGGUGGAGCGGUGAAAUGCGUAGAGAUCGGAUGGAACACCAGGGGCGAAGGCGGCAUCCUGGCUCUGUACUGACGCUGAGGCGCGAGAGCGUGGGGAGCAAACCGG
rnacentral:rRNA from 1 species